rnacentral:rRNA from 1 species
AGUGAACGCUGGCGGUAGGCCUAACACAUGCAAGUCGAACGGCAGCACAGUAAGAGCUUGCUCUUACGGGUGGCGAGUGGCGGACGGGUGAGGAAUACAUCGGAAUCUACUUUUUCGUGGGGGAUAACGUAGGGAAACUUACGCUAAUACCGCAUACGACCUACGGGUGAAAGCAGGGGAUCCUCGGACCUUGCGCGAUUGAGUGAGCCGAUGUCGGAUUAGCUAGUUGGCGGGGUAAAGGCCCACCAAGGCGACGAUCCGUAGCUGGUCUGAGAGGAUGAUCAGCCACACUGGAACUGAGACACGGUCCAGACUCCUACGGGAGGCAGCAGUGGGGAAUAUUGGACAAUGGGCGCAAGCCUGAUCCAGCCAUACCGCGUGGGUGAAGAAGGCCUUCGGGUUGUAAAGCCCUUUUGUUGGGAAAGAAAAGCAGCAGGUUAAUACCCCGCUGUUCUGACGGUACCCAAAGAAUAAGCACCGGCUAACUUCGU